AUUACAAUAUAUUUAUUUAUAUUUGUCUUAUAUAUAAAAUUCUCGUGUCGCGGUGUUUGUUGUCAAACUCCCCCGGGAACGAUUCGAACGAUUCUCUUGAUAACAGUGACAGUUUUCGGUCAUGCUCUCAUGGUAAACCAUUAUUUAUACACAUUUUAUUAAUACGAACGUGAUUAAUAAAUAUACGUGUUUUAUUAGUAUAAAAGACAACAAUGCCACGAAAACGCAACGGGGUAAUUUGAGUCGUCGACCACUCAAAUCUAGAAGCAUGCAAGAUAAAAGACCACAAAGGGCAGAUGAAGAUAGGCAACAAAGCAAUGCAGAUGUCCGUGUAAGCAUGGCGCAGUUACGUGCAUCACAAUUGCAAGAGGCACGAGAUGAGCAAAGCGAGCAUUAGCCGUUGCCUCAUCUGGCAUUGCAGCUACUUUAUUUGAUGGAUGCAGAACAGCUCAUUCGGCAUUCAAGCUGCCACUGAACAUUCAAAAUAAUCCAGAUGCAGUUUGUAAGAUUAAAAAACAAUCAUCCAUGGCCACUGUG